rnacentral:rRNA from 1 species
UACGUAGGGUGCGAGCGUUAAUCGGAAUUACUGGGCGUAAAGCGUGCGCAGGCGGUUUUGUAAGCCAGAUGUGAAAUCCUCGGGCUUAACCUGGGAAUGGCAUUUGGGACUGCAAGGCUUGAGUGCGGCAGAGGAGACUGGAAUUCCUGGUGUAGCAGUGAAAUGCGUAGAUAUCAGGAGGAACACCGAUGGCGAAGGCAGGUCUCUGGGCUGACACUGACGCUCAUGCACGAAAGCGUGGGGAGCAAACAGG